ensembl:lncRNA novel transcript
GACUAGGAAAGGGAACUCCCUGACCCCUUGCGCUUCCUGAGUGAGGUAAUGCCUCGCCCUGCUUCGGCUCGCACACGGUGCGCGCACCCACUGACCUGCGCCCACUGUCUGGCAUUCCCUAGUGAGAUGAACCUGGUACCUCAGAUGGAAAUGCAGAAAUCACCCGUCUUCUGCGUCGCUCAGGCUGGGAGCUGUAGACCGGAGCUGUUCCUAUUUGGCCAUCUUGGCUCCUCCCCAUGUUCCAGUUCUUCAGUGUCUUGAAAGUUACUGCGUAGUAGCAGUUCCUACUUCAGAAGCUUUCUUUCCUGCCAACUUGUGAAGAAGGUGCUUGCUUCCCCUUCUGCCAUGAUUGUAAGUUUCCUGAGGCCUCCUCAGCCAUGUGGAACGAUCAAAGCCAGAGAUGAGGUGACAUACACCUAAGAUAUUCAAACUCCAGCUUGAAGGUCAAUUGGAUCUGCCGACAUAUGUUGCUGAUUUUGUAACAUGAAAGCCAGCUAAGAAAAACAGAUCAGUGAAAUGCAUAUUCUUCGUAUUCUUAAUUUCAGCCCUAUCCAAAUGUUUACAGAAUAGUUUGAAGAGAUUUGCAGUUUCUUGUUAUCAGUCUUAUUAAGCCUUGGCAAACCUUUAAUAACAAGUCUAUCAACAACCCACCAGGGAUUUGAUUUUAGUCUUGGAGUGCCUGAAUUUUUACGCUAUUGAACAAUUUUUAAUUGGAAGCACCGGGACCUUUUCUGAUCAGUUGUCCACGUUGCCUCAUGAAUGGGUGGCAUUCAUGCUCAGCUUGAAAAGGCAAUGGCAGCUGGGGAAAAAAAUAAGGCUUUGUGUAAGCCGAGAAGAGGGCAGGCAGGCAGGCAAACAGCAAGAUUCCCCUAGAAGUAGCUUUAGUGUGGGUGUUUUAAGCCACACAGAAAAAAGUAAACUAGAAUAAUCACCACCUUGCACUUGUUUUAUGUUUCCAUGGUUUAACUUAAAACACUGGCACAAGGAGACAACUACCAUUCUAAAGUCAGAACCUCAGUUAAACUAGAAUUGUGGGUCAGAUCCAUGUCUGCCAACUACAUAGGACACUUGGAAGUGCAAUUUAGAAAGAGAGAAUAUAGUAGCAGUUUCCCCGCUAGUAAAUCCUACACACCCGUGCCAGGUUAAUUUUAUCAUGGUUAUUAGAAUGUCAAAACCUUCAAGGAUUUCCAUCUGCUCUUAGAGUAAAAUACCAACUUCUACAUUUGUGUUUCAAAGCUCUCUCUAAAAUAACCAAUCCUACACAUCCAGUUCUGCAUGAGAGUCAGGGCUCUGAAGCCAGAUUAUCUGGGCUCAAAUUCCACCUCCAUCAUUUACCAAGUUGUAUCACCUUGCACAAGUCACUUAACCUCUGUGUGCCUUUGUCUUCUCCUUGUAAAAUGCAGAUUAAAAUAUUGCCUCUAUUACAUGAUUGUUAUGAAGAUUAACUAAGUUAAUAUGUGAAUGUUCUUAAACUGGCCUAAAACUUAGUGAGAAUAAGCACAUAUAAAUGCUUGAGUAAGGGAUGUCCCACUGUACUACAGUGCAUUAUGUUCCUUCCUUUCUCUCUCUACUCAUGGUUUUCUGUCUACUUAAAAUUCUUUGCAAGGUUAGAAAUGGAAGUAGUCAGAAACCAGAAAGCUAGCCAGAAUGAAAAUCACUGAAGCAGAAAGACUAGAUUGUCCUUCCAGAAGAAGGAUCUGUUCAGAAUUCUCCCAGAACUUUCCAGCCUCUAUACAUUUGCUUAUUUAGUUCUCCUUUUCUGGUAUGCCUUUCCUUCUUCUAUCUAUUCAAAACCUACUCAGUCUUUCAAAAUCAAGAUGGAAUUCUCUGUGAUGCCUUUCUCAAAUGCUUUGGACUUACUCAUGUUUUCAUGAACUGUAUCUCCUAUUGAUCUGCCAUUUUUUGGUCCUUAAUUAUAUACCAAUUUGUGUUGCAAAUUAAUAUUUGCUUUCAUAUUAGUCUUAUUUCCCCCAAAUAGAUGGUUAGCUUAUCAAGCACAAGAGCAGAGAUUUAUCUUAUAUCUCGUGUGGAGCUGAGCUUAAAGUAAGUGUUCAAUAAAUUCUAUUGAAUAGACUUUAAUAAAUUCAAUUAAUGUCCUCUCCUUCAAUCCUGUCUGCAGUAGUCACAGUAACUAAAAAUAAGAGGUUUAAGAAAAGAUCAAUAAAAGGCUGAAAAUAUCAUGAAUAAGAAACUAAAACUAACUACCAAAGCCAAGGUAGAUUCUGAUGGGCUGAAGCUGAAGAAAAAAAUGGUUCUUCCUCUGAAAUAUUUUACAAUUUGUUUCACAUAUUUAAAAUAUAUUUGAAAGUGAGGAAACUGGACACAAAUAAUAUCACAAUGAAUUAAGUCAGAACUAGUGCUCAAAUCUCUAUCUUCUGGAACUAAUCUGUCUUAACUCAUUGUGGGAUUCUGUGUGUCCAGUGCACCUAUAUCUACCACACUGUGGAUUACGGUGAAAAAAAAAAAAGGAUUAUCUAGAGUAGUUAAGUCUCUAGAUUUGUUCAUCUAGGUGGAGUUAAAAAUUUCAUUGGCAAGUAGAUUGUUCACCAAUUUCUGUAAGUAAUGGCUAUUAAAAAACUCUUUUCCCAUUGGAAACUCAGCAUUUUAGACAUGUGGUAGGCUCUUAGUCUUUGUUAAACAACAGUGAUGUUAUUUCUUCAAUUUUGAUACUUGGUGUGUACUCUUAUUUCCUGGCUGUUCAUAGUUUAUGCCAAUUAUGCCAAAUUUUUAUCAACUUUAUCCAAAUUUUAUUUGUUGUCCAAUAUUUGUUUGACUAACUUGCCAAUUUCUCAGUGCAUAUUUAUCCAAGAGGAACUGAAGUAUUGUCAGUAUAGUUUUGAUACCAGCAAGGUUAUAUAAUAAAAAACUAACCUUUAGUGACUAUAUUUGUAUAUUUAAUAUUAAGUAUAGAUCACAUGUGGCUGCUUGACUUCUGAUGCAACUCUAUGUGUUUUGAAAUAGAUCUGAGGCUCCUUAUAGGAAUAGACAAUGGUCUCUUCAGUUGAAUUUUUGCUGACUUUUCUCAAUAUGUGACAAUCUCUUAAUUUUCCUGACUCUACCCUAUCUAGGUUCUCCUCUUGUGUCUUCCUUCACUCCUUUAAUAAAUCUUAGUUCUCAGUCCUCCACUGUAUUUUCUAUAUAAUGCCUUAGAUUUCAUCUCAGUCACUGUAGUGCUUUCACUAUUUCUGCACAGAUGAUGCUAUAAUAUUUACUUCAGCCUUCAAAAUUCUAACCAGCUCUUCUCUAAAACCCUACUAGACAUUUCUUCUUGGGCAACCUACCUAUACCUCAAGUUGGAUGUAUUUUUAACUGAAUUCAUCAUGUCUCUGAAAUUGUCUCUGUCUCUUAAUUUUCUUAACACUAUUCCUCCCGUUCAUUAGGAAGUUCAGUCUCCUUUGACUCCUCUCCUUUCCUGACUGCAUAUUCAUUUGGUCCUAUAGUAUUGUCUGUUUGAUCAUCUUGAUAUCUGCAAAGUCCAUUUUUCCUUCUGGCACUUCCUUUUCCAUCUCUUCAACUGGACUGGCACUGCAGUUCAAUACCCAGAAAUGCACAUAGUAAUUACUUGUUGAAUCAAUAAAUGAAUAACUUUCCUAUCUCAAUUUCUUCGUGCCUUCAAUAUAUUCCAGAUUAAUUAUUUCUCUGUAGCCCCAGCUACCGGGAGGCUGAGGCAGGAGAAUGGCAUGAACCCGGGAGGCGGAGCUUGCAGUGAGCCGAGAUCACGCCACUGCACUCCAGCCUGGGCGACAGAGCG